rnacentral:lncRNA from 1 species
GCCAGCAAAUUCAAACGAUCCAGCUUGGCAGUAUGGCUAUUGGACGACUAUUGGAAAUAGAGACUUUGUGACAUGUAAUCUUCGUGGAAAGGUAACUAAAGGCGGGGCUACAAGGCUGAAGCAACAUCUUGCAGGUGGCUAUUGUCACGCCCAGAAAUUUACACCAAAUUUCUGAACAAUAGCAUGUAUUAAAUCUCGGUCCAGGCAUCAACCCGAGUACAGACUAUGACAAAUCAAUACACAAUUCCACGACUUAAAAACAAAUAAAAACAAUUAUCUAUCGAAAUGCAGCGGAAAAGGAAAACAAGACUAGACCAACUAAUCUUCAGCUUCAGCUGGUGAAGACGGCUCCACACCACAGGCACUCUCGACGGCGGACUGAACCUCACUUCAACCUUUGGAACAACCUUCUNN